UCCCACCCUUUGUUUUUUUUUAAAACAAGUCCAUUUUUUUUUGGUAAAAAAAGGAUUUUUUGGAGGAAAAGCGCCCCCAAUAAAACACCGGAACAAAGCAAGCCCCAGCGCCCCGUCCCGGCGCCGCCGGCCGGUACUGCAUCUUUACCGUUGCCUUGUCUCGGCUCGCCGUUCACGCAUCCUUGUAUUUAUGUUGUUCGCAGCCUAACGCUAGCGGCCAGGGCAAAGUCACGGGCUCAUUUUUGCUGCCGCCGCCCCCACCUGUGGCCAGACCUGUGCCCCUUCCAAUGCCUGACACAAAAUCCACCAGCACUAACCCAGAGGGCGGAGCGCCGACACCUACAUCACCCUCAUUCGCAGCGCCAGGCUCCUCCACUGCCAACCGGUUUGUCGGCAUCGGACCCCGGGACGGCAACUUUCUAAACAUCCCCCAGCAGUCUCAGUCUUGGUUCCUCUGAUGGGAUCUUCAAGAAAGAGACGAGAAAUCUCUCCCUAAAGCCCCCCAUGGAAGCGUCCGUCCUUCGCCUGGAUCUUCACUGAGCUGCUCCUGUCGAGACCCAGAGGGGGUGCCCAGCUCCCACUACCGAUGAGAAAAGUCCAACCCCCCAGUCCCAGCCCCGAUCCGGAGCCAAUUUGAAUCGACGUGGACGAGGUUGGUCCUGUCCGAUGCGGACUUCCCGCGCCGCCCUUGGGAAGUAACAUCUCAAACAGCAAAGCGCAGCACCCCCGCCGCGAUCGCCGCAGGUCAGCCGCUCCGGAGCCGAGCAUCUCCCUGUUCCUGGGGCGGGGAGAUCGACAGCCCCGGACGCACCCGGGUCGAAAUCUCCCGAAACCCCCCAGAGCGCUGACGUGUGCCAGGAAAGAGGGGGAAGUGCUGGGAGCUUUCCAGAGCUGCAAGUGACUUAGGAUGGCAGGUUGAGGCAACGGCCAACAGCCCAGGGCGUCCAGCCUGCAGCCACGGGGUGUGUUGCACCUCGCUUAGGCCGACCCGAGCUAGCAUUCAGGUGCCGGGAAGCCACAGCCGCGUGGGCGAGCCCCGGGUAAUUACUCGGCUGUGGCAUCCUGCUCUGGCCCCCGAGCUCGCUCGGCUGAAGCCAUGAGCGGGGAUCUCCCUGCUGGCACUGGUUCGGCUCGUGGGGUGAACAGAGCGAGAACCGAACCAGCUGGCCUGUCCCACAAACAGAUUUGCAAAUUCAAAAAUUUUUCCUGUCUCAAAUUGGGGUGAAAAAUGGAAAUCUCAAAAAUAUUUGCCAGCCGGAAACCUGACGAGUUUUUUGUUGUGGGUCAUUUGAAAUAUUUCAUUUUUUCCAUUUGGGCCUUUUUUUCCUGGGGUUUUAACCUUUUUUUUUUUUUCCAGUCAAAUUAGCUUAAUGUCGGGUCGAACUAGAAAACUGGAAUUUUCCCUUUUUUGCAAGUUUGUUCCCGAUCAGGAGACGCAGCCGACACGCCCGUUCCAGGAACGGUGCCAUUUCGGCAAAGCUGCGAUUUCCAAGGAAAAAAUGAUUUGUCACAGCCUCCCGGCCAGCGCAGGGCAAUGGAAAAUCGGUCUUCAAUGGCGUGUGACCUGCCCUGUCGCAGUUUCACUUGCCUCGUCUGCAUGAGAAGGCAACACUGGUUUAACUUCACCUGCUUUAAAUCCACAACUCAAGGGGUGAAUUUAAACCGGUUUCAAGGGCCUGCUGUGAACCGGACCCAUAGAAGUGGUUUGACAUUGAUGUAAGUGCGUCCACACAGGUGCUGGCACCAGUUUCAUCAAACCGGUUUAACUGAAGUCAGGCCAGUUUUGCAGGGAACAAACUUUGUGCAUCCAAGUCACGUAGGCGCUCUGGAAAUCCUCCCUCUCUGGCCGGCAAUGAGCCACCUUCCCAGUUCAAUUCCGGACGCUCGGGCCGGGAGAGGCCGCUGCCCAAGGAGCCCCAGGAUUGGGUCCCCUCCGUCUUCAUCCUGGGGCAGCCGGAUCCUCCAGGGCGCCCGGGAAGAUUCAGCCCCGGCGGGGUGUUUGCUGGCAGCCCUGGAGAAAUGCAGCCGGGAAGGCUACGAAACUUCCUCCUGGCCACCCUGCCCUGCCCCUGCCUCGGCCCUCGGGCUCUCCACAGCCCUCCCCCCGCCCAGGGGCCUUCUGGGUGCCGGGGGGGCUCAGGACCUUAGCCCAGCAUCGCCUGCAGGGACUGGAGCCGAGCUGUGCCGCUGAGGAUGCUGGGAAUUUACCCAGGAUGCUUGGCGGCCGAGGGACUCAGGUUGCUCCGUUGUCCCCCCUCGUUCCCGCCGUACUGGGAGUCAUGAGGAAGGCUAAGCAGAGACGAUCCCGGCCGCAGGGGCAGGGGGGGCUGCGCGCUCCCUUCCCGGCCCCCCUGUGUCAGCCUCUCGCUCGAGAGCUCCCCCGGGCGGAUGAAGUGGGAUUCUGCCCGGGGGGGACACAGUUAGAUUAUUUUAGUCUCCUUCCCAGUGGCUCCCAGCAUGGUCCCCCUCCCCCCCCCCCACAAUGGGGCUCUCUCCAGCCCUGAAAAUGCAGCGCUGGGGGGGUCCCUUUGCAAACAACCCCCCCUUUCCCCCCCCAGGAAAUCAGCUUCAGCUAAGGGCGCCUGCCAAUGCUGCCAACCCCCGGGCAUGGCUGCCCUCCUCCCUUUCCGAAUCCUCCCUCCCCAGGGAAAGCACUGGGGGAGCCGCGGCAGCUGGUUUGGGCCGGGGGGGGGGGGGGGGCUGUGAGGUCUAGCUCAGCUGCCGGCUGUUUUCUUUCCCCUUCUCCCCACCGCGAUCUGUUCUCGCUUCCUUCCUUCGGAUUUGCUGCUUGGUGGUUGGUUUUUUCGUUUUAAAUAGUUGGAUCCUUUCUCUUUUCUCCUCCUUCCUUUCUUCCUUCGUCGUAGCUUGGUGGUUAUUUUAGGGGUUGGGGCUUUCUGUACAUACAGGCGAUCAAAGGAACUAGGGCCAGAGUAACAAAGACGCCACGCCCCAGCCAGCGCUCGCUCGAGGGAAAGCCCUGGCAGGACUCUGUAGGCCUAGCGCUGAGGAGAUGCGGGGACGGUUUGCUGCAGGGACAUGGGAAAGGUUCCGUUUUCCUGCUGGUCCAGAGUGCACACAGAGCAGUCACAGUCACCCAGCCCGCCACACGCUGUCCGUUCCGCUUCCGAAAAUCAAAUUAAAAACUCUCUCUCUCCAUCUCACACCCACCUUUGAAUCAGCAGCAGCGGCGUCUUUCUAUUUUUGAGAGACACAGGGUCCCAUCUCUCCACCCUGUUAUCAGGCGCAGGGCCUGCGAUGCUGAAAUGCAGCCACCUCUGGGGUGGGGCGGGGCGGCUGUUAGUAACAGCAGCGCCGCAGGGUAGUUUUAGGACCGGAAGUGGGGAUGGGAGAAUCCUGUAUCUGGAUGAAACCCCCAGGAAGGGGGUGGGAAAUAGGGAGGCAGAUUGGGGUCGCCUGAGCUGGAGUAUGGCCCGGAUGCCAGGGUUCAUAUCUUGAUUCUUGCAACAAC